rnacentral:rRNA from 1 species
GAUCCUGGCUCAGGAUAAACGCUGGCGGCGUGCUUAACACAUGCAAGUCGAACGGAGUAUUCCUCCCGAGACCGAGGAAGCUUGCUUCUGAAGAAUCACCUGGAAUACUUAGUGGCGGACGGGUGAGUAACGCGUGGGUAACCUGCCUCACACAGGGGGAUAACAGUUGGAAACGACUGUUAAUACCGCAUAAGCGCACAGUACCGCAUGGUACGGUGUAGAAAAACUCCGGUGGUGUGAGAUGGACCCGCGUCUGAUUAGCUAGGUUGGUGGAGGUAAUCGGCCCAACCAAGGCGACGAUCAGUAGCCGGCCUGAGAGGGUGUACGGCCACAUUGGGACUGAGACACCGGACCCAAACUCCGUACGGGAGGCAGCAGGUGGGAAUAUUGCACAGUGGGGAACCCUGAUGCAGCGAACGCCGCGUGAGUGAUGAAGUAUUUCGGUAUGUAAAGCUCUAUCAGCAGGGAAGAUAAUGACGGUACCUGACUAAGAAGCACCGGCUAAAUACGUGCCAGCCGCAGC